UAAGAGUAUACACCUCGAAAAUGUGGAUUACUAUACCAGCGACUUCUUAUCAUUCCCAAGGGAGUUGUGAUAUUAAACGUUCAGCAGUUUAUUAGCAGUCACUGCCCAGUUCAGAUUGAACUGGCCAGUUCGUUCAGCAGUGACUCGCCAGUCGCUGUGCCUAUUUCGUCAGAUUUUUGACACAGUCACUGCCCAAGGACUGUGGAAUUAGACUUGAAAAUAGAACUAAUGACAAUUGUGCGUUGGUUACUAUUUUUAGGAUUAGAAAUUAAUAAAAAGGACUAAGAAUCUAAAGAAA